rnacentral:rRNA from 1 species
GACGAACGCUGGCGGCGUGCUUAACACAUGCCAGUCGAACGGAAAGGCCCUGCUUUUGUGGGGUGCUCGAGUGGCGAACGGGUGAGUAACACGUGAGUAACCUGCCCUUGACUUUGGGAUAACUUCAGGAAACUGGGGCUAAUACCGGAUAGGAGCUCCUGCUGCAUGGUGGGGGUUGGAAAGUUUCGGCGGUUGGGGAUGGACUCGCGGCUUAUCAGCUUGUUGGUGGGGUAGUGGCUUACCAAGGCUUUGACGGGUAGCCGGCCUGAGAGGGUGACCGGCCACAUUGGGACUGAGAUACGGCCCAGACUCCUACGGGAGGCAGCGGUGGAGAAUAUUGCACAAUGGGCGGAAGCCUGAUGCAGCAACGCCGCGUGCGGGAUGACGGCCUUCGGGUUGUAAACCGCUUUCGCCUGUGACGAAGCGUGAGUGACGGUAAUGGGUAAAGAAGCACCGGCUAACUACGUG